UAUAAAAAGCCUAAUCCAGCCCAGGAGCGGGGGAACCAGAUUAUUAAUUCUAGUGUGGAAGCGGCAUGGUGAAGGAACAUGUGGCGGAAGCAUAAAGGUUAUUGGGGUGAAUUAUAAGCGGCGGCCUCGGCAAGACCGCGAAGAAGGGUGUAUUUCCACCCUAACCCGACAGCUAACCUCGCAGGCGAAAAGAGAGAGGA
rnacentral:sRNA from 1 species